rnacentral:lncRNA from 1 species
UUAUUAGUGAGUGCCUACGUACCGAUCUAUCAUUCUCUUCUGAAAGAAAAAUGUCUUGCUGUGGAGGAAAUUGUGGAUGCGGAUCUGCCUGCAAGUGUGGCAAUGGCUGUACUGGGUAUCAACCCUCUUUCUCUCUCUCUAUAUAUAUAUGUAUUGAUUAAAAAUGUUCUUUUAAUUAUUUAUAAAUGAUUGUUGUUGAUGGAUCAUGGAAGAAAGAAUAGGGCUUUCCUGAUGUCUAGGCGGUGGCAGAUGAUAUUUUAUUCUCUGAAAAUUAAUUAUGCUGAUUUUGUAUAUUAUUAUGCUACUGAUUUGAGAAUUAAAGGGUUAAAUUUGUAAGUUAGUUUGAGUCCAAAGAUUUCAUCUUUUAAUUGAGGAUGCAUGUUUUAUCUAAAAAUAAAAUGACAAUAGUGUUAGUGGGAUGAUGAUGAAAUUAUGAACUUGAAAACGUUAUGGCAUUUCAUCUUGGUGUGAUGGCAAUUCAUCAACGAGUGAUGGUUAAUUAUGCAGGUGCAAGAUGUACCCUGAUGUGAGCUACUCCGAGAGCACCGCAAGCGAGACUCUGGUGUUUGGUGUUGCACCCCAGAAGCCGUAUGUGUAGCUGCUGCUCCCUUCAGUCUUGUUAGUUAGUUAUAUGAAAUUUGUUUUGUAAAAAAAAUAAUACUAAUAAUUUGGAAUAAUUGCAGAAGCUUUGAGGGAUCAGAGAUGGUGGUGGCGGCAGAGAACGGAGGAUGCAAGUGCGGAUCCAACUGCACCUGUGACCCAUGCACCUGCAAAUGAGAUUAAUUUAUCCAAAAAACAGAGAUACUCCAUUACAUUACAUAUAUAAUAAUAUAAUGAGAGUUCUCUCUUUCUCUCUGUCAUAUGCUAAAAUAAGUAUGUAGACGACCAAUUAAGCUAAUAAAGCUAUAUGCUCUAAUUACUAGGUCAGGUGUGUCUCUUUGGGUUCUCUUGUUAUGUAGUUGAAGCUACCUUUGUUGUAAUAAAAUGGGUGGCGGCUAGGCUAUGAUGGGGUUAACUUUUGUGUUACUACCUCAAAUGCUCCCCCGUGUGUUUGUUUGUAUAAAUGAAGCUGUUGUUGGUGUUACUUGUG